CGGCACGAGUGAGUAACACGUAUCCAACCUGCCGUCUACUCUUGGACAGCCUUCUGAAAGGAAGAUUAAUACAAGAUGGCAUCAUGAGUCCGCAUGUUCACAUGAUUAAAGGUAUUCCGGUAGACGAUGGGGAUGCGUUCCAUUAGAUAGUAGGCGGGGUAACGGCCCACCUAGUCUUCGAUGGGUAGGGGUUCUGAGAGGAAGGUCCCCCACAUUGGAACUGAGACACGGUCCAA
rnacentral:rRNA from 1 species